UUAAGCGACUAAGCGUACACGGUGGAUGCCCUGGCAGUCAGAGGCGAUGAAGGACGUGCUAAUCUGCGAAAAGCGUCGGUAAGGUGAUAUGAACCGUUAUAACCGGCGAUGUCCGAAUGGGGAAACCCAGUGCAAUUCGUUGCACUAUCGUUAACUGAAUACAUAGGUUAACGAGGCGAACCGGGGGAACUGAAACAUCUAAGUACCCCGAGGAAAAGAAAUCAACCGAGAUUCCCCCAGUAGCGGCGAGCGAACGGGGAGCAGCCCAGAGUCUGAAUCAGCUUGUGUGUUAGUGGAACGGUCUGGAAAGUCCGACGGUACAGGGUGAUAGUCCCGUACACCAAAAUGCACAGGUUGUGAACUCGAAGAGUAGGGCGGGACACGUGGUAUCCUGUCUGAAUAUGGGGGGACCAUCCUCCAAGGCUAAAUACUCCUGACUGACCGAUAGUGAACCAGUACCGUGAGGGAAAGGCGAAAAGAACCCCGGCGAGGGGAGUGAAAAAGAACCUGAAACCGUGUACGUACAAGCAGUGGGAGCACCUUCGGGUGUGACUGCGUACCUUUUGUAUAAUGGGUCAGCGACUUAUAUUCUGUAGCAAGGUUAACCGUAUAGGGGAGCCGCAGGGAAACCGAGUCUUAACUGGGCGUUAAGUUGCAGGGUAUAGACCCGAAACCCGGUGAUCUAGCCAUGGGCAGGUUGAAGGUUGGGUAACACUAACUGGAGGACCGAACCGACUAAUGUUGAAAAAUUAGCGGAUGACUUGUGGCUGGGGGUGAAAGGCCAAUCAAACCGGGAGAUAGCUGGUUCUCCCCGAAAGCUAUUUAGGUAGCGCCUCGUGAAUUCAUCUUCGGGGGUAGAGCACUGUUUCGGCUAGGGGGUCAUCCCGACUUACCAACCCGAUGCAAACUACGAAUACCGAAGAAUGUUAUCACGGGAGACACACGGCGGGUGCUAACGUCCGUCGUGAAGAGGGAAACAACCCAGACCGCCAGCUAAGGUCCCAAAGUCAUGGUUAAGUGGGAAACGAUGUGGGAAGGCACAGACAGCCAGGAUGUUGGCUUAGAAGCAGCCAUCAUUUAAAGAAAGCGUAAUAGCUCACUGGUCGAGUCGGCCUGCGCGGAAGAUGUAACGGGGCUAAACCAUGCACCGAAGCUGCGGCAGCGACACUAUGUGUUGUUGGGUAGGGGAGCGUUCUGUAAGCCUGCGAAGGUGUGCUGUGAGGCAUGCUGGAGGUAUCAGAAGUGCGAAUGCUGACAUAAGUAACGAUAAAGCGGGUGAAAAGCCCGCUCGCCGGAAGACCAAGGGUUCCUGUCCAACGUUAAUCGGGGCAGGGUGAGUCGACCCCUAAGGCGAGGCCGAAAGGCGUAGUCGAUGGGAAACAGGUUAAUAUUCCUGUACUUGGUGUUACUGCGAAGGGGGGACGGAGAAGGCUAUGUUAGCCGGGCGACGGUUGUCCCGGUUUAAGCAUGUAGGCUGGUUGUCCAGGCAAAUCCGGAUAAUCAAGGCUGAGGUGUGAUGACGAGGCACUACGGUGCUGAAGUAACAAAUGCCCUGCUUCCAGGAAAAGCCUCUAAGCAUCAGGUAACAUUAAAUCGUACCCCAAACCGACACAGGUGGUCAGGUAGAGAAUACCAAGGCGCUUGAGAGAACUCGGGUGAAGGAACUAGGCAAAAUGGUGCCGUAACUUCGGGAGAAGGCACGCUGGUGUGUAGGUGAAGUCCCUGCGGAUGGAGCUGAGACCAGUCGAAGAUACCAGCUGGCUGCAACUGUUUAUUAAAAACACAGCACUGUGCAAACACGAAAGUGGACGUAUACGGUGUGACGCCUGCCCGGUGCCGGAAGGUUAAUUGAUGGGGUUAUCCGUAAGGAGAAGCUCUUGAUCGAAGCCCCGGUAAACGGCGGCCGUAACUAUAACGGUCCUAAGGUAGCGAAAUUCCUUGUCGGGUAAGUUCCGACCUGCACGAAUGGCGUAAUGAUGGCCAGGCUGUCUCCACCCGAGACUCAGUGAAAUUGAACUCGCUGUGAAGAUGCAGUGUACCCGCGGCAAGACGGAAAGACCCCGUGAACCUUUACUAUAGCUUGACACUGAACAUUGAGCCUUGAUGUGUAGGAUAGGUGGGAGGCUUUGAAGCGUGGACGCCAGUCUGCGUGGAGCCAACCUUGAAAUACCACCCUUUAAUGUUUGAUGUUCUAACGUUGGCCCCUGACCGGGGUUGCGGACAGUGUCUGGUGGGUAGUUUGACUGGGGCGGUCUCCUCCCAAAGCGUAACGGAGGAGCACGAAGGUUAGCUAAUCCUGGUCGGACAUCAGGAGGUUAGUGCAAUGGCAUAAGCUAGCUUGACUGCGAGCGUGACGGCGCGAGCAGGUGCGAAAGCAGGUCAUAGUGAUCCGGUGGUUCUGAAUGGAAGGGCCAUCGCUCAACGGAUAAAAGGUACUCCGGGGAUAACAGGCUGAUACCGCCCAAGAGUUCAUAUCGACGGCGGUGUUUGGCAC
rnacentral:rRNA from 1 species